GGCUAUAGCCACACAGCCUUGAGUGCUCCAGAUCUCCUCUGAUCUCAGAAGCUAAGCUGGGUCAGGGCCUGAUUAGUACUUGCAUGAGAGAAAAUAUUGCUUAGGAGUUUCCAGGUUAAUUGUUC
rnacentral:rRNA from 1 species